rnacentral:lncRNA from 1 species
GAAUUUUGACUUUAACAUGAGUGUUUCCCUGCUAUAUAAGAUUAGCUUCCCUAGGCAAAGAGUGUGUAGAAAAGCACACAAUUAUAAGUUUUGAGAAGAAUGAAGAGCAAGAGCAUGGGCAAAAGUGCGUUUCUUUUGUUGUCACUGAUGGCAUUUUGGAUUGUGUUGCUGCUUCUUGCACCAAAUUUUGCUGCUGCUACUGCUAGAAAUCCCACUAAGGAUGCGGUUUCUGCCAGAGGAGCGCCUGGUGCAUCUUACCACUUGGAGCACAACGACAUAAACGAGCGCGGCAGACAUCCCCCACGCCCUUGAAUCCAGUAUGUGUUACCAAAGUCUUAUAAAGAUAUGGACAAGCUUGCGAAAUAGACGAUACAUAAUCUGGCCACAAGUCACCAAAAAUAAAAAUUGGUUUAAGGUGUGAAUGUCUCAAGUCUGUCAGUCUCUCCUCAAAGAUCAAGAUCUAGUCAACUGCCAGUCCACAAAGGUCAAAAUGUUUGACUAGCCAUAUAAAGCAUCAAUAUAGUCUGGACUGGAGAAAAGAAGAUCAACUGGAAUGUCUCAGCCCUUACAAUUUGGAAGGCUGUGAAGAACUUGCAAGAAAAGCAAGCUCCACUUUUUCCACUACAGGGUGAGAUAUUUAGCUAGAAAUUGUAUACUACCAAUUUCAAACAUUGUAGCUUUCCAAGACAGGAUAUAUGAAAAUUGAUGCAAAAUGGAAAGAACUACCUGAGGAAUUUUCACGAAAUUAAUUAGAG